UAAUACGUAGGAUGCGAGCGUUGUCCGGAAUUAUUGGGCGUAAAGAGAACGUAGGCGGUUUGCCAAGUUUGAUCUUAAAGACCGGGGCUUAACUCCGGGAGUGGAUCGAAAACUGGCAGACUAGAGGACGUCAGAGGAAAGUGGAAUUCCCAGUGUAGCGGUGAAAUGCGUAGAUAUUGGGAGGAACACCAGUGGCGAAAGCGACUUUCUGGGACGUUCCUGACGCUGAGGUUCGAAAGCUCGGGGAGCAAACAGGAUUAGAUACCCUGGUAGUCCGAGCCGUAAACGAUGGAUACUAGGUGUCAUGGGUAUCAACCCCCGUGGUGCCGUAGCUAACGCGUUAAGUAUCCCGCCUGGGGAGUACGGUCGCAAGACUG
rnacentral:rRNA from 1 species